GACCUGGUGGUGUAAAUGGUAACACACUUGCUUUGAUUAACCGAAGAAGAACUUGUAUGCAGGAACUCCCCGUUCGAUUCGGGGUCAGGUCA